UUAGAACAGCGCAAUGUGUGGUAGCAUUGAACAAUGUGUGGUAGAACAGAACAAUGUGUGGUAGCAUUGAACAAUGUGUGGUAGCAUUGAACAUGUGGUGGUUAGCAUUGACAUCAAGUGUGGUAGAACAGAGCAAUGUGUGGUAGCAUUGAACAAUGUGUGGUAGAACAGAGCAAUGUGUGGUAGCAUUGAACAAUGUGUGGUAGAACAGAGCAAUGUGUGGUAGAACAGAGCAAUGUGUGGUAGCAUUGAACAAUGUGUGGUACGGAACAGAGGCAAGUGUGGUAGACAGAGCAGUGUGGUGAACCAAUG
rnacentral:lncRNA from 1 species